UUGAAAAUUCCAAUUAAGAAUCAACAACUUGGAAACAGAGAUUAGCAUGGUCCCUGUGCAACAGUGACACACAAAUCUAUAAAGUGUCCUGAGUUUUU
rnacentral:snRNA from 1 species